UGCACGCGCUCCCUGUCUUCUUCCUCACGGUGGCCAGCAGGGAGCACCAAGGCCAACGCCCACUUCCUCCCAUGGCGCGCGUGGAGCCGCCCCCUACGGCCAGCGCCACUACGACCUCCAGCCCCUGUGCGACCCCUCCCCAAAACAGCAGCCGCAGCAGCUCUUCUCCAUGCCGACACCCCCUGUUCCUCCUCUCUCUACCGGCGCCCUCCCCAAAACAGCAAGCUCCAGCGCCCCCUACAUCUCCCAUGGAAAACAACAAGCCCCCACGGUGUCCUGGAGUUCUCGCUGCUCAGCUUGGCCUCGCAAGCUUGCUGUCGGGACAACCUAGCCGCUGCUCCACCCCGCGUACUACCUGCUCGACGAUAUGCGCAACCGGCUGCGUGUGGUCAUGCUGGUGUUUUGCGCAGCGCUUGCGCGACGACACCGAUCUGCGCAGCGCCUACGAGUUGUCGUCGAAACCCGCGCCCUUGUCGACGUCACGCCUUGCGCAUCGCUCGUCGGCAAAGAGCCCAAAACUAAUGGCAUGCAUGCGCGGCACGAGUCGGCCAGGAUCGUGAGAUGACACUCAUGCAAGUGGUGUGGUGCCAACCCCAAGAUGCCGUUGGUGGACGACCUGAAGAAUGGACAUAACCAGUGGAUGCUUGCCAAGCGAGUACCUCCCCCGGCAAACACUAUCUAAGUGUUAAAUUAAAGGCAAGCCCCGGUUUUAUGCAUAACCGUUUAUAUAUGCUAUUUUACUACACUUAAUGUUUGUAGGCUUGUACUGUGCACUUAAGUGUAGGAGUUGCCUGAAACCCUAGUUGCAUGAACUCAGGAUUCCUUUGAGAUGGAUACUAGUAUGCUAGGUCGAGUAGCUGCUUUAAUAAUUAGGGAUCUCGGUAGAAGUCGAGUGAUUUUUCUAGCACUCGCGCGAGGUCAGGAAUUGAUUGUAUCCCCUUUGAUAACAGAAUGAUGAUGGUCUGUGGACACGGAUCCAUGGGGAUGCGUGGUCUACGAGAUGAAAAUGGAAUAAGGAUUAACGUGCGGAUACCUGUGUCAAGCGUUUGAACGUACUAAGCACAUACCGAGAAAUAUGGUAAAUCGGUAAGCCUAGUACCUGAUUGAACCUGGCAGCAGAUUGCCCUCCUCACGCGACCUGAGACGAGGUCUCCCAUUCCGGUUAUGGUGGGUACAAGUGCGGUCACUGCACGACGGCCAGUCGGGGUCAGUGAGGCAUUGUACGCCAAGGCGGUGAGCCCCUCUCUGCUGACGGGGAAUCGAUGGGGACAGUUGAUGUGUGUGGGGACGGAGUGCCCCUGCAUGUCGUGUGUUUAGGUUUACCUUGCAAGGAUAAAAACUCGAUUCGAAUCGUCUGCUUCUCGCAGCUAAUGAGACUGCUUGAUCCAUUGUACUGCAUUGAGUAAUAAGUGGAAAUGAGGUGACUGGCAAAAAAGAUGUUGAUUGCUUAAAAAUGUUUGAUAUCAUGUAUGAGUAGCUAGGUACUCAUCUAGUUUAAAAAGGAUCAUACUAAAACUUGAAAAGCUAAAACUUGAUUUUAGACUCAGCUAGUGCUUUUGGCAAACCAAACCCCUCAGCCAAACAACUGCAUGUCUAGAGGUAGAGGAGUAGACUCCUCACACCGGGUAAGUCUAGCUGAGUAUUAGUAUACUCAGCCUUGCUUGUGGCACAAUUUUUGCAGGUACCUCCUUGCUUUGGUUGUUGGUGUGACUUGACCUUCAUCCCUGCCACCGGGAUAGACGGUCGAGUGGGUUACUGCUUCUGUAGGAGAGGACCAGGAGGAGUAGCGUGGCCAGGCUUCGCCAUGUUACUCGGUUCUUCUCCGUUAGUUAUUUCCGCUGCAUUAAAAUUUAUGGUUAUUAUUUCUGAAACUCCGAUAAUGUAAUCACUAAUGAUACUUAUUAAAUUUGUGGUAUUAUGUUUUAUUGUAUUUCUCUGUGCCUCACCUUCGUGUGAGCUAGUGGUAUUCGAUCCUGGUAAGUGGCUUUAUCGGACUAGAUCCGAGGGACUGACGGGUUAUUCCUGUUUAAGUGUGUUGCCGCCCUUAAGGGUGCGACUUGGGCACUUAAGCCGGAAUAAUUCGGGCGGUUCCGCCACAGCUGGUAUCGGAGCGAAUACCAUCACAGAGAAGUCAAUAAGUCAUGAUUACCAACCUUUUCUAAAGUAAAACUUGCUUAGAAACCAAAGUUGGAUAGAUCGUCAGGACGAUAAGGAUAGACCUAGGACUUGAAGCCCUAGGAAUAGAUGGGUAGCUAGGUGGCUAGUUAUAUAGGCCAUAAAGGCUAUUACUACUACUAUUAGGAUGCUUUAGAAGCAUCCGAAAAAAAAAAUUUAGUUAGGUCUGAGAAGACGACUAGAAUGAGCAUGCAUCAUGAUUGUCGCAUUAUAAUUGUCUCUUGUGCAUCAACAUGCUUCUCUCACCUUUAUUCCAAGAAUAAGAAAUUGUGAAUAAUGUGUUGUAUUGCUAUGAACUGCAAAAAAAAACUGUCUUACCUCGUGUCAGAUUGGUAAGUCUUGUUAGGUCGCGUUAUGUGUUUCUCUUGUCUUGCUAUCUAGGUGGCAUUGCAAUUGUUCAACCCUUUUUGCCAAUAAAAAAAAUUUGUUGUCUGUUUUGCCCAUAAAAAGACCCCUCCAAACAACCUUGAGUUUAGCAAGUGAAACCUCUAAAACAAAUUCAUUCUUGUGUUGGUGUUUUCUAACCUUUGUGUGUUUUACCCUGAAGUUGCACCUACACAACUUGUAGACCCCCAUAGCUUAACAGCUAGCCAAACCGAAACUUCCUUAAGCACGUGGUUAUGUCAAAAAAAUUUAUUGGUAUCUAGUUGCGCAAACCCUAUUAAGGCCAUGUUUCUUUUCAUAAAUCCUUGCACCUAAAACUUCAUAGUAUUCCUGUUGAUCAUCCAGCUGAUCUUGUUGACGACCUCUCUUUUCACCUUGAUCUAGUAAAUCUUUACCUUUGUGAAUCGUGUUGUGACUUUAUCAUCCGAAUCUCUGGAUCCUUCAUUGAUUCUGCCCUAUUAUCUGGUUAUCUGCUAUAACCUAUUCUCAAGUGUCGAAUGUUGAUCUUGCCUAAAUCUCUCAUUUCUGGUCAUUCUCAUACCCCCUUCUCUGAGGAUCAUGACACUAAUUUUAUCAACUUAUCUCUAAACAGCAUAUCCAUGUGGAUUAAUGGAUGUUGCUGUUGUCUUUAGUUCUCUCAUGUCUCUAAAAACUCAAUGAUCUUGAUCUCAUGGUCAAUUCCUUCUCAUAUCAAAUGUCGUAUCAAUCUUGGACUGAAAAUCCCCGUGUUGAUCAUAAAAUAAUUCGCGGAGUUGAAGAGUUCUCAUGUGAUGCUCUUUUGUCAGCAAUCUCUGCUUCAACUCCGGUGACAUUCUUAUUUUCUGAGCCACAUUCUCAUGGGCUCCAUCUAUUUAUGCUAUGUGAAAUUCUCGUUGGUUGUGUUUGGUAAUGGUGUUAUGACUAACGACUGAUGGUGCCGCGACGAAACCGAGAGCCUCCUGUGGGCGCGCACACAUGGUUGAGCUGCUCAGCACGCGCUGGUACCGCAGUUAAUAGUCAUGAUCCAUUAUGGGACUACACCGAUGUGCUAUCUUUUGUGGACACCCUCUCAGAAUGAUCGCUGCAUUUUGUCUCGAUAUGUCGCGAUAUUCUAACCAAAUCUGUCUUCAGUAAUCUUGUCAGAUACCCUCUCAUGAAUUUGCAUCUAUCUUCAGUCUAGGAGUUACAUGCUUCUCCACCCUUAAAUAUCCUCAUUCGAAUCUCGGGACGAGAUUCUUUUAAGGGGGGAAGGCUGUGACACCCUAGGUGUCAGUUUCGUGUUAUGCUGGGAGAUUUAUCCUAAUCUCGGAUGCUUAGUGAAAAUUUCCUAUUUCUCGCUCGCGUAUGUCUCUGACUAUCCAGAUUAUUCAUUCACAUUUCACCGAAUUCGGAAUUAUUCAAUCUCACAGAAGGCCGAAUUUGGAGCCUGUUAAAACUUUUAUUUUUCGGAACGAAUGCAAACUCAAUAAUCAUUCUCAAUUUAUCAAACUCGUCUAAAGCACAUUUAAUCACACGCUCGACAGCUGCUAGUCGAGCUGUGUCCGACUCCGAUUUCUCGAUGCUCGAUCUAUGUCCAAAAUUAAUCCGACUCCGAACUCUCCAACGGAAUGCUCAAUAUGUCGUCCUCUAGUCAAUUUCAUCCGACUCGGCUAAAUAUCCCAUGUUCGAACCAAACUCAAAACCCCGUUAUCGACGACAAUUUUAAAAUACCACGAUCCGAUUUCUCCGACUAAAAAUCCAAAACCGAUCAAAUCUCAGGGCGAUUUAUUUUUGAAUCAUGCGCGAGGAAUUAUUUUCGAGCAAAGUGAAAUCCAACUCUCG